rnacentral:rRNA from 1 species
CCUACGGGUGACAGCAGUGGGGGAUAUUGCACAAUGGGGGAAACCCUGAUGCAGCGACGCCGCGUGAGUGCAGAAGUAUUUCGGUAUGUAAAGCUCUAUCAGCAGGGAAGAAAAUGACAGUACCUGACCCAGAAGCCCCGGCUAACUAAGUGCCAGCAGCCGCGGUAAUACGUAGGGGGCAAGCUUUAUCCGGAUUUACUGGGGGUAACGGGAGCGUAGACGGUUAUGUAAGUCUGGAGUGAAAGCCCGGGGCCCCACCCCGGGACUGCUUUGGAAACUGUGUAAAUGUAGUACAGGAGGGGCAGGCGGAAUUCCUGGUGUAGCGGUGAAAUGCGUAGAUAUCAGGAGGAACACCGGCGGCGAAGGCGGCCUGCUGGACUGAAACUGACGUUGAGGCUCGAAAGCGUGGGGAGCAAACAGGAUUAGAUACCCUAGUAGUC